rnacentral:rRNA from 1 species
GACGAACGCUGGUGGCGUGCCUAAUACAUGCAAGUAGAACGCACAGUUUAUACCGUAGCUUGCUACACCAUAGACUGUGAGUUGCGAACGGGUGAGUAACGCGUAGGUAACCUGCCUGGUAGCGGGGGAUAACUAUUGGAAACGAUAGCUAAUACCGCAUAAUAUUAAUUAUUGCAUGAUAAUUAAUUGAAAGGUGCAAUUGCACCACUACCAGAUGGACCUGCGUUGUAUUAGCUAGUAGGUGAGGUAACGGCUCACCUAGGCGACGAUACAUAGCCGACCUGAGAGGGUGAUCGGCCACACUGGGACUGAGACACGGCCCAGACUCCUACGGGAGGCAGCAGUAGGGAAUCUUCGGCAAUGGACGAAAGUCUGACCGAGCAACGCCGCGUGAGUGAAGAAGGUGUUCGGAUCGUAAAGCUCUGUUGUAAGAGAAGAACGGGUGUGAGAGUGGAAAGUUCACACUGUGACGGUAUCUUACCAGAAAGGGACGGCUAACUACGUG